ACACUCCUGCGGGAGGCAGCAGUGGGGAAUAUUGCACAAUGGGCGCAAGCCUGAUGCAGCGACGCCGCGUGGGGGAUGAAGGCCUUCGGGUUGUAAACUCCUUUCGCUAGGGACGAAGCUUUUUUGUGACGGUACCUAGAUAAGAAGCACCGGCUAACUACGUGCCAGCAGCCGCGGUAAUACGUAGGGUGCGAGCGUUGUCCGGAAUUACUGGGCGUAAAGGGCUCGUAGGUGGUUUGUCGCGUCGUCUGUGAAAUUCUGGGGCUUAACUCCGGGCGUGCAGGCGAUACGGGCAUAACUUGAGUGCUGUAGGGGUAACUGGGAUUCCUGGUGUAGCGGUGAAAUGCGCAGAUAUCAGGAGGAACACCGAUGGCGAAGGCAGGUUACUGGGCAGUUACUGACGCUGAGGAGCGAAAGCAUGGGUAGCGAACAGGAUUAGAAACCCUAGUAGUCCCAUGA
rnacentral:rRNA from 1 species